AAACCUUCCCGCCCGCGGAUUUUUUGCGAAGUCCGGGGCGGGGUUGUUGGCGCGGGGAUACCGGCCACCGUGCUCCGGCGCGGCGAUGGCCUUCCCCCGCUUAAACGCGGAGAAAGCUAGCGGGCACGUGCCCCCAUCGCGAACGACUCGUAGAAAAUACCGUCGUUGACCGCUUUGGGACGAGCCCCGCCUGAAACCUCCGGGGGUUUUCCCCCUGAA
rnacentral:misc_RNA from 1 species